GAAAAUGGACAUACUAUUUUUGUUUCGAGGUAAUGAGAUUUUGUAGCUUUUCCCCUCAAUUAUUUCCUCUGUUUUUUUAUUUCUUUGCCCUUUUUCAGUGCAAAAAAUGUUAACGGGAAAAGCUCAAAACCAAUUCAACAACGGAAAAAUCGAUAACGAAAGGUGGCUGAAGCUACUGCUGAUGUUCUUGACGGGUUCUGCUAACCCCUCCCUCUUCGUGACCUCUCUGUCCCUUCUCUUAUUUCUCUGUCUUUGUUACUUUUUCAUUUCCUCCCCCCUUUGUUUGUGUGUAUGUGUGAUAAAUGAGUUCAAUUGGAAAUAGUGCAUAACAACACUGUUUUGCUAAAAUGUUCAAGAGAUGUUACUUCCAGAAAUUCAUUAAAAUCUUCUUGAAAGCUCCUUUUUGUGGUGGGCGACUCACUUUCCAAAAAUCCAAAACGGCUGAAGC
rnacentral:lncRNA from 1 species